rnacentral:rRNA from 1 species
AUACGGAGGACGCGAGCGUUAUCCGGAUUCAUUGGGUGUAAAGGGAGCGUAGACGGCGAAGCAAGUCUGAAGUGAAAGGACGGGGCCCAACCCCGGAACUGCUUUGGAAACUGUUUGGCUGGAGUGCGGGAGGGGUAAGCGGAAUUCCUAGUGUAGCGGUGAAAUGCGUAGAUAUUAGGAGGACCACCGGUGGCGAAGGCGGCUUACUGGACCGUAACUGACGUUGAGGCUCGAAGGCGUGGGGAGCAAACAGGAUUAGAUACCCUGGUAGUCCACGCGGUAAACGAUGAUCACUAGGUGUCCGUGGGUAUGACCCAUGGGUGCCGCAGCCAACGCAAUAAGUGAUCCACCUGGGGAGUACGGUCGCAAGAAUGAAACUCAAAUGAAUUGACGGGG